rnacentral:rRNA from 1 species
GACGAACGCUGGCGGCGUGCUUAACACAUGCAAGUCGAACGGAAAGGCCCUGCUUUUGUGGGGUGCUCGAGUGGCGAACGGGUGUGUAACCCGUGAGUAUCCUGCCCUUUACUUUGGGAUAACUUCAGGCAACUGGGGCUAAUACCGGAUAGGAGCUCCUGCUGCAGGGUGGGGGUUGGAAAGUUUCGGCGGUUGGGGAUGGACUCUCGGCUUAUCAGCUUGUUGGUUGGGUAGUGGCUUACCCAGGCUUUGACGGGUAGCCGGCCUGGGAGGGUGACCGGCCACAUGGGUACUGCGAGAGGGACCAGACUGCAACGUGAGGCAGCAGGGGGGAAUAUUGCACAGUGGGCGGAAGCCUGAUGCAGAAACGUCGCGAGCGGGAAGACGGCCUUCGGGGUGGAAACCGCUUUCGCCUGAGACGAAGCGGGAGUGACGGUAAUGGGUAAAGAAGCACCGGCUAACUACGUG